rnacentral:hammerhead_ribozyme from 1 species
AUCCGGCUGACGAGUCCCAAACAGGACGAAAUGCGCGUCCUGGAU